ACCUCCACCCAUACGGCCAUUUCAGUUGCCACCGCCGACUCGGCGCCGCCCCUGUCCUCCGCAUUGACGUCGCGCCGCCCCUUGCCUUUCCCCUCGCCUCGCCGCCUCACCGCCUCACGUCGACCCCUGCCGCCCCGGCGCUAGGUUUCCGCUGGCACAACCGACGCCGCACCGGACGCCGCAAUAGCCCGCCGGCGCUAGGUUCCCCUCGACAAACGAUGCCGCCGGUGAGCCUCUACAACGAAUUGUGUUUGUACUGGUCCGUAAGAUGUUGUAUUCAAUUAGCCAUUGGAAGGACCCAUCGCGUGAAGAACAGAGCUGCCACAGUUUGGUAUUUGACCACCAGCUGCUGCCGAUUCCGCCAUUGUUCGUCGUCGAUAACCCGAUGCAAACCAUAGUUCCUAGCAAUAAAAACCAGUGGAAGCCUUAUGUUAGCCCUUGCCGAUAAUCUCCUCCAUGGCAGGCAGCUCGCUCAUCAUCCCUUCAGCCUGCUAUUUUGUUCAUAUUCGUCCUCACUGAAGUCUUCUGUUGUGUAAGUUUGUCCCCCAUUCACUACUUGUUUUGAUUUUCUUGGUGCCCGUGGAUUGCCCGUAUUAAGAUAUAUGGGAAUUGUCAAAUGUGUGUCAUGAUAUUCACAUCAUAGUAAACUAUAGUAACAUAGUGUCUGACUUACAGGGUCUUGCCUUGCCCCUGAACCUCCCAUUAAUAUUUUGUUCAAAAUGUUACACUUUAUUGAUUUGUCAAAUCAACUUGGGUUCACAAAUCUUUGUGGCUGAUGGCCAGGCUUGCAUUGCAUAUUUUGUGGCUUAGUUGCAUAGCACUAAACCUGCACCUGGUCAACAGGAUUUGAUUAGGCACUGCAAAGUUGAGUAUACGAUGCUAAUUUUUUUGCCAGGAUCAUUCUAGUCAUGGCUAAUUGUAAAAUAUUCAUAUUUUAUGCCAUCCCACCCUCUGUCCAAACAAAAAUGCAUUUAUCUAUUUGCAAAUAGAAAAUCUCCAUGAUUUUGAGUACACACACAUACUAACAUACUAUUUAUGCUUUCAUGUACAUCAUUAUUUACGACUAGGAAAAUUCCCCUCAUGCUAUAGGUUGCAUAGAUUCAAAAUGUUUAUGUCCAUAGAUGGCAUUAUUUCUGACCUAGCUUGUCAGUCAUAAAUAGUCAUGGCUUUUAUGAUUCGGCUAAAGGCAGGCCCGGCAGCUGCCUGCUACUAUCUCCUCAUUGGGCGUCCUGUCAUCGGAGACACUGGUGGGAUCGCUGGACUGCUCAUUCCCCUUCCCCUGUUCGUCUUUGUUGCAGCUCGAUCCUAAGAUUUGAACUUCAUAUAUAUGUGCGGUUCAAUGGAGAAUUUGUUUGGUGAUACAAGUGAUACAACCUAUAUGUGCACUUAUGUUUUCCUUGACCUGUGUACAUUUAACCGUGAAAUGUGUUGAAAUGCCUUUUGGAUCAAACCUUCUUUGACAUUUUCUGUCAUUUUUUUGCCUGAAUCUCCUUUAUGUGGCAGAAUAGCCCAUCGUCAGCAGUUUUUGUUAUACUUUGUCUGAAUGGUAACUUCAAUGCGGUCAUAUGGCCACUUGAGCCGCUGUCAAUGAAACAUUGAAACUUACUUGACCUGCACAUGUCUAUUUUACUGUACAAAUAUAAUGUCUUUUGUUGAUGCGGGGUUCUGUCGUAGGUCUAUUUAUUCUUGCCUGACGAUAGAGUAUGAGCCUGUAGAGAUUUGUUCAGAUUUGUUUCACUCAUCUUUGUUCAGAUUUGUUUGCUAAGAAGCUACCCUUACCCAGAAAGUUCAGAUGCAUAAUUGUUAUAAUUUUGUGAUCUAUAUUGGCCAAAAGAAGCUAUUGAUCUAUAUUGCAUAUUUAAACGGGCUGUUUCUCUCUUUUUUUUUUUGCAUUCAACUACAGUUGCAGCUGGACUGCAUGAGCUCAGUCAAGCUGCUGAAAAAGCCAUAUGAUGCAAAGCCCUCGAUAGCGACCACACCAUGUGAUGCAUCCAAUGCCAGUGGUUGGCGUGGUUGCAGCAGCUUAUCAUGGCUGGCAACCCAACCCACCGAUUGAACUAAAUCCUUUUUUUUCACAUGGUUGCAAAGUAUGAGCUCAGUACAAAAGAUACGCUAAUUAGAAUGUGUCAUCAGAUUUGCAAUUAAUUCUUGGAGGAGCGUGUGAACAUUAGAUUCAGAAUGCUCUUCUAUUAGGAUGUUACAUCUUCCAUACGAUCACUCAAAGUAGAAUUCUCCAUUCAGAUCAAUGCCAAGUUCAUUCAGUGAAAGAAAUUUGCCACCUGGUGUGAUGCACCUCUAUGGUCCUGUCAUUUGUUUACAGGAUUUAUCAUUUUUCGCUAAUUUUGAAUUCAAGGGGCUAAUAAGAAAAUAUGCUACUAGAGGCAGACAAAAGCUUGAUGAUGAACUAGAAGCGCCAAUCUUUUAUUUCCAGAAAACAAUAUAUGCAUUUAAAUAUUAUCUAUAAUGAAUACAACUGAACCUUGUGUUUUUUGAUCUAGCUUUAUAAAUAUGUGUUCAUGAAAUUGCUUCUCAUAAAUUAUGUUCAUGAUUCCUUAGCUACCUCUGGUAUCUCGUGAUGGUAUAAGGUUAUUAUUGAAUACUUCCUGAAACUAUAGUCUGAUCACAAACAAUGUUGUGUAAACUCCAAAAGUUAUAAUUACUAGCAAAAGUAUACAAGUGAUCCCAAUAGUGAUUCACGACAGUGGCUUAAUCUCAAAUCUUGAUCAUAAAAGGCUUAGUAUAUGACAUACGAGUUUACUAUCAUAAUAAGAAUAGUAUUCAAUUUCAAUGUUCAAAGGUUCCUAUAUUACUCCAUGGGUUGCCAAUGAAUAAUUUAUUGUAAUAACCUUAUACCUAACGUAUCUUUGCUCAUUUUUCUGCCAAAAACACAUGCAUGUGUGAUUGUAUCACAUCAUUUGCUUAAUUGCAUGGUAAAGCCAACAUGAGCUUAUAACUUUGUAUCCACAAGAAUGCCACUGAUUUGCUAGAGCUAUAUGGCAUGAUAGCGUAUUUUCAGCUCGUCUUCUGCUAAUGCUUCAGAUUAUCAUGGCCAACACUGUUUUUUCUUUUCAAUCAGAUUAUAAUAGCUAGGAAUCACAAGGUAGCAAUGCAUCCUCCUCUGCUGAUCAUGGCAGUAUCUUUGUCACUGACGCCUGCCAUGCUGUCCACAGCUGCGUUGGAGUACUCUUGCUGAUCGUGCUUGCCAUUGAUCCAUGGCCAUUCAAGGUGUCUGCAGCAUUUGAGGAAGUAUCAGCGAUGGUUGAUAGUGAUACCAGUCAGUCCAGCGAACUGAGAAUGGCACAGAUCAGCAGAACCGGAGGGCCAUCUUGAUGUGGGUUCCUGAGAAAAAUGAAGUAGCAGAGUGUACAAAAUAGUCAAUGAAAAAGCAAAUGUACUAGUUUUAUAAACGUGAUCAUGUAGACAGUUUAUACACGGUUAAUGGAAUAUCAAGUUGUACUCAAUUUUUGUGAUUAAAUUCGAGAU